rnacentral:tRNA from 1 species
GCGUCUGUGGUAUAGUGGUUAGCGUGCUGGCAUGCCAUGCAAAAGAUCGGCGGUUCAACUCCCGCUACAGUCA